UUUGGUGCACCCGGCUGGAGAUGG
rnacentral:miRNA from 1 species